rnacentral:rRNA from 1 species
GUCUUUUUGAAAUAAUUUAAAGUCUAAUCUGCCCACUGAUAAAAAAUUAAAGGGCUGCAGUAUAAUGACUGUACAAAGGUAGCAUAAUCAAUAGUUUUUUAAUUGAAAACUUGUAUGAAAGAUUUGAUGAAAUAUGGACUGUCUCUAAUUUAUAUGUUGAAUUUUAUUUUUUAGUAAAAAAGCUAAAAUAAAUUUAAAAGACGAGAAGACCCUAUAGAGUUUUAUAUUUAAUUUUAUUUUAAAAUUAUAUAAAAAUUAAUAUUAAAAAUAAAAUUAAAUAUUAUAUUGGGGCGAUAGAAAAAUUAAAUUAACUUUUUUUAAAAAUUAAACAUAAAUAAAUGAUUAUAUGAUCCAUAAAUAAUGAUUAUAAGAAAAAAUUACCUUAGGGAUAACAGCGUAAUAUUUUUUUUUAGUUCAAAUAAAAAAAAAAGUUUGCGACCUCGAUGUUGGAUUAAGAUAAAAUUUAAAUGCAAAAGUUUAAAAAUUUUGAUCUGUUCGAUCAUUAAAAUCUUACA